rnacentral:rRNA from 1 species
CCUACGGGUGGCAGCAGUGGGGAAUAUUGGGCAAUGGGCGCAAGCCUGAACCAGCAACGCCGCGUGAAGGAAGAAGGCACUCGGGUUGUAAACUUCUUUUAUCAGGGACGCAGCAAGUGACGGUACUCGAUGAAUAAGCCACGGCUAACUAAGUGCAAGCAGCCGCGGCAAUACGUAGGCGGCAAGCGUUAUCCGGAUUUAAUGGGUGUAAAGGGCGUGUAGGAGGGAAAGCAAGUCAGAUGUGAAAACCAUGGGCUUAACCUGUGGACUGCAUUUGAAACUGGUUGUCUUGAGUACUGGAGAGGCAGGCGGAAUGCGUGGUGUAGCGGUGAAAUGCGUAGAUAUUAGGAGGAACACCAGUGGCGAAGGCGGUCUGCUGGACAGCAACUGACGCUGAGGCGCGAAAGCGUGGGGAGCAAACAGGAUUAGAUACCCUGGUAGUC